rnacentral:rRNA from 1 species
GACGUUAGCGGCGGACGGGUGAGUAACACGUGGGUAACCUACCUAUAAGACUGGAAUAACUCCGGGAAACCGGGGCUAAUGCCGGAUAACAUAUAGAACCGCAUGGUUCUAUAGUGAAAGAUGGUUUUGCUAUCACUUAUAGAUGGACCCGCGCCGUAUUAGCUAGUUGGUAAGGUAACGGCUUACCAAGGCGACGAUACGUAGCCGACCUGAGAGGGUGAUCGGCCACACUGGAACUGAGACACGGUCCAGACUCCUACGGGAGGCAGCAGUAGGGAAUCUUCCGCAAUGGGCGAAAGCCUGACGGAGCAACGCCGCGUGAGUGAUGAAGGGUUUCGGCUCGUAAAACUCUGUUAUUAGGGAAGAACAUAUGUGUAAGUAACUGUGACAUCUUGACGGUACCUAAUCAGAAAGCCACGGCUAACUACGUGCCAGCAGCCGCGGUAAUACGUAGGUGGCAAGCGUUAUCCGGAAUUAUUGGGCGUAAAGCGCGCGUAGGCGGUUUCUUAAGUCUGAUGUGAAAGCCCACGGCUCAACCGUGGAGGGUCAUUGGAAACUGGGAAACUUGAGUGCAGAAGAGGAAAGUGGAAUUCCAUGUGUAGCGGUGAAAUGCGCAGAGAUAUGGGAGGAACACCAGUGGCGAAGGCGACUUUCUGGUCUGUAACUGACGCUGAUGUGCGAAAGC